rnacentral:rRNA from 1 species
GAUGAACGCUGGCGGCGUGCCUAAUACAUGCAAGUCCAGCGAACAGAUGAGGAGCUUGCUCCUCUGACGUUAGCGGCGGACGGGUGAGUAACACGUGGAUAACCUACCUAUAAGACUGGGAUAACUUCGGGAAACCGGAGCUAAUACCGGAUAAUAUAUUGAACCGCAUGGUUCAAUAGUGAAAGACGGUUCUGCUGUCACUUAUAGAUGGAUCCGCGCCGCAUUAGCUAGUUGGUAAGGUAACGGCUUACCAAGGCAACGAUGCGUAGCCGACCUGAGAGGGUGAUCGGCCACACUGGAACUGAGACACGGUCCAGACUCCUACGGGAGGCAGCAGUAGGGAAUCUUCCGCAAUGGGCGAAAGCCUGACGGAGCAACGCCGCGUGAGUGAUGAAGGUCUUCGGAUCGUAAAACUCUGUUAUUAGGGAAGAACAAAUGUGUAAGUAACUAUGCACGUCUUGACGGUACCUAAUCAGAAAGCCACGGCUAACUACGUG